AUGAGAGAUUUUAAAUCACAAUGGACGUUCGAGGAGCAUGACUGCCAGCACUGUGAGCAGCAGGGCUGUCUCCAGCCGUCGACAGGGAUGCCGGCUUCAUCUUCCACAGCCCGCAGGCAGUUCCAGGCACCCCUUCUUGCUGGCAAAAUGGAAAAUAGAAAACCAUCUUGGACAACCAGCUAUAGCGCGUACCAACAAAUAAAAAGAAGACAUUCUGGAGUUCCCGCUGUGACACGGGGGGUUAGGACCCUGAUUACAGAUGCCUGGGUUGCUGUGGAGGCAUGGGUUGAAUUGCCGGCCCAGGGCAGUGGCUUAAAGGAUCUGUCACUGCCACAGGCGCAGCGUAGAUCACAGCUGUGGCUCAGAUUCAAUCCCUGGCUUGGGAACGUCCAUAGGCCACAGAUGUGGCCACCAAAAAAAAAAAAAAAAAAAAAAAAAAAAAGCUGCCCAAGAAUCCCCAAGAUCCCCAUUGCAGAACUGUUCAGACCACACACUGUUCUGGUGAAGAGUACAGCCUGGAGUCAGGGCGCCUGGAUGUGAACCCUGGUUCUGAUACUUAGCUGUAGAUGUUGGGCAAGUUACUUAGCUUUUUAGCGCUCCAGUUUCUUCAUCAGUAAGGUAGGAAUAGUAACAGUACCCACCUGAUACAGUUGUCAUGCAUCACUUCUUCUCUCCAAGUUUAAAAAUACCUUUCAAAAGAAACAAGGAGGAAAUUAACUUGCUAAGAUUAUAUACCUUGUAGCAGUUAAAAAAAAAAAAAAAUCCCCAGAGAAGUUAAAUCAUCCAAAAUGAGGUUGGGAGAGGGAAGACGUGGAGGGGAAGACACUGAUGAAAAACUCUGGCUCCCGUCCUUCAGAAGAGGGUGAACUCUUGAGGGAACAGCACUGUGAGGAGGAAACUAGCAAAACACAGAGGAGGAAAGACCAUUAUGAAAGAAUAUUCAAAGUACUUUUAGGAAAUUCUCUGGAGGGAAGUAGGAAGGCAAGCGUCCUAUCUCAUGGUGAGGCAGAAAGAGAACUAGAGCAAUCAGAGAAUGCAGUUUUAUUUCUAAAUCUGACACUGGUGUCACCUUGGUCAACUGACCUCACCUGCCUCAGCCUCAUUUGCCUUAAAACAAAAUUAUCUCCAUGCACUCUACUCUCUUCAGCUCUCAAAAUCUUUGAUUCUAGCAAUCAGUACUCUAGUUCAGGAGAUCUGAUACUCACGGGCCCUUCCAUGAAGACACAUGAAAGUCUAUAGCAGGCAAAGCCCCUCCAUCAAUGAGGCAAAUCAAGGGAAUCCUAGAAGGCUGGUUGUGGAAUUGGGUUCUGAGGGCUCUGCUCUCUAGGGAACAAUUUGGCUUAGUUGUCUCUUUCAAAGUCAUGGAAUCACAGGAUUGCCCAAACUGGAAAGUACCCUGCACCCUCAUUCUGCAGGUUCAGAAAAGUCAAAUGACCUGGCCAAGGUCAUCCAGCAGAAUAUGGCAGAGCCAGGACUAGAGCUUGCCCACUGCCUCUGCUGUCUGUAAAUGCAGGGGCUCAAGGGCUAGAACACAGCAAGUGUGCCCUUACAUAUGACUUUUAAUUGAACAGUGUCUUGGACACAAGCAGGGCUGGGGCUAGGGUAAGGUAAAUGGGGCACUGGUGUCAGGAGCAAAAUUAAAGGCGGAGCAUAAAAAAACUCAGCAUUAAAACACAGUAUCUUUAAUGCACUACUAAAAAUUAAAAAUCCAUGAACAAAAUACACAAUAUAACAUUUUUAAAUAAAGACAGAAUUGGGGAGUUUCUGUCGUGGCUC
rnacentral:lncRNA from 1 species